UACAGAGGGUGCGAGCGUUGUUCGGAAUUACUGGGCGUAAAGCGCGCGCAGGCGGCCACUUAAGUCCGCUGGUGAAAGACCGGGGCUCAACCCCGUGUCAGCCAGGGAUACUGGGUGGCUGGAGACAGGUAGAGGCAAGCGGAAUUCCUGGUGUAGCGGUGAAAUGCGUAGAUAUCAGGAGGAACACCUGCGGUGUAGACGGCUUACUGGACCGUAACUGACGCUGAGGCACGAAAGCGUGGGUAGCAAACAGG
rnacentral:rRNA from 1 species